UACGAAGGGGGCUAGCGUUGCUCGGAAUCACUGGGCGUAAAGGGUGCGUAGGCGGGUCUUUAAGUCAGGGGUGAAAUCCUGGAGCUCAACUCCAGAACUGCCUUUGAUACUGAGGAUCUUGAGUUCGGGAGAGGUGAGUGGAACUGCGAGUGUAGAGGUGAAAUUCGUAGAUAUUCGCAAGAACACCAGUGGCGAAGGCGGCUCACUGGCCCGAUACUGACGCUGAGGCACGAAGGUCAGGGGAGCAAACGGG
rnacentral:rRNA from 1 species